rnacentral:rRNA from 1 species
GAGUCAUGCUUCCAAGAAAAGCCCUAUACCCGUUAAGGCAUCAUGGCCUGUACCCGAAACCGACACAGGUGGGGUGGUAGAGAAUACCGAGGGGCGCGAGGUAACUCUCUCUAAGGAACUCGGCAAAAUGGCCCCGUAACUUCGGGAGAAGGGGUGCCACCGCAAGGUGGUCGCAGUGAAGAGGCCCAGGCGACUGUUUACCAAAAACACAGGUCUCCGCUAAGUCGCAAGACGAUGUAUGGGGGCUGACGCCUGCCCAGUGCCGGAAGGUUAAGGAAGCUGGUCAGCGCAAGCGAAGCUAGCGACUGAAGCCCCGGUGAACGGCGGCCGUAACUAUAACGGUCCUAAGGUAGCGAAAUUCCUUGUCGGGUAAGUUCCGACCCGCACGAAAGGCGUAACGAUCUGGGCGCUGUCUCGGAGAGAGGCUCGGCGAAAUAGAAUUGUCUGUGAAGAUGCGGACUACGUGCACCCGGACAGAAAGACCCUAUGAAGCUUUACUGUAGCUUGGUAUUGUGCCCGGGCUCGCAAUGCGCAGGAUAGGUGGGGGGCUUUGAUCAUCGGCUUGCGGGUCGAUGUGAGCCAACGGUGAGAUACCACUCUUUGCGAGCUAGGGUUCUAACGGCCACCCGUCAUCCGGGGGCCGGACAGUACCUGGUGGGCAGUUUGACUGGGGCGGUCGCCUCCUAAAAGGUAACGGAGGCGCGCAAAGGUUUGCUCAGGCUGGUUGGAAAUCAGCCGACGAGUGUAAAAGCAGAAGCAAGCUUGACUGUGAGACCAACAAGUCGAACAGGGAGGAAACUCGGCUUUAGUGAUCCGACGGUUCUGAGUGGAAGGGCCGUCGCUCAACGGAUAAAAGUUACUCUAAGGAUAACAGGCUGAUCUCCCCCAAGAGUUCACAUCGACGGGGAGGUUUGGCACCUCGAUGUCGGCUCAUCGCAACCUGGGGCUGAAGUCGGUCCCAAGGGUUGGGCUGUUCGCCCAUUAAAGCGGUACGCGAGCUGGGUUCAGAACGUCGUGAGACAGUUCGGUCCAUAUCCGGUGCACGCGCAGGAAUAUUGAGAGGAUUUCUCCCUAGUACGAGAGGACCGGGAGGAACGCACCUCUGGUGUACCAGUUAUCGUGCCAACGGUAAACGCUGGGUAGCCAUGUGCGGAGUGGAUAACCGCUGAAAGCAUCUAAGUGGGAAGCCCACCUCAAGAUGAGUAUUCCCAUGGCGUAAGCCAGUAAGGUCACGGGAAGAACACCCGUUGAUAGGCUCUAUGUGGAAGCGCAGUAAUGCGUGAAGCAGAGGAGUACUAAUAGACCGAGGGCUUGACCG